rnacentral:rRNA from 1 species
AGCUGGUUNGAGAGGAUGAUCAGCCACACGGGGACUGAGACACGGCCCCGACUCCUACGGGAGGCAGCAGCAAGGAAUUUUCCGCAAUGGGCGCAAGCCUGACGGAGCAACGCCGCGUGUGGGAUGACGCUUUUCGGAGUGUAAACCACUGUUCGUGGGGACGAAGCACUGACGGUACCCACGGAGGAAGGCCCGGCUAACUACGUGCCAGCAGCCGCGGUAAUACGUAGGGGUCGAGCGUUGUCCGGAGUUACUGGGCGUAAAGCGCGUGCAGGUGGCUCAUUACGCCCGGCGUGAAAGCCCCCGGCUCAACCGGGGAGGGUCGUCGGGGACGGGUGAGCUUGAGGGUAGCAGGGGCUGGUAGAAUUCCCGGUGUAGUGGUGAAAUGCGUAGAGAUCGGGAGGAAUACCCGUGGCGAAGGCGGCCAGCUGGGCUACACCUGACACUGAGACGCGAAGGCGUGGGGAGCGAACGGGAUUAGAUACCCCGGUAGUCCACGCAGUAAACGAUGCAGACUAGGCGUGGGGGGACUUGACCCCUUCCGUGCCGAAGCUAACGCAUGAAGUCUGCCGCCUGGGGAGUACGGCCGCAAGGCUAAAACUC